rnacentral:rRNA from 1 species
AACGAACGCUGGUGGCGGGCCUAAUACAUGCAAGUCGAACGAGAAAGCUUCUUCGGAAGUGAUUAAAGUGGCGCACGGGUGAGUAACACGUAGGUGACCUACCCUUUAGUGGGGGACAACCCGAGGAAACUCGGGCUAAUACCGCAUAAGCUGGUCUAUUUUGAAUAUGGAUCAGGAAAGAUUUAUCGCUAAAGGAAGGGCUUGCGGAUCAUUAGCUUGUUGGUGGGGUAAAAGCCUACCAAGGCUACGAUGAAUAGCUGGUCUGAGAGGAUGAUCAGUCACACUGGAACUGAGACACGGUCCAGACUCCUACGGGAGGCAGCAGUAGGGAAUAUUGCGCAAUGGGGGAAACCCUGACGCAGCCACGCCACGUGAGUGAGGAAGGCCUUCGGGUUGUAAAGCUCUGUCAGUAGGGAAAAAUUGCCCGCAAGGGAGUUGAUGGUACCUACAAAGGAAGCACCGGCUAACUUCG